AGAAUUUCUUUGAGUGACAUUUAGUAAUUGAACAUUGACACAUGUGUCGAAACGUUGCACGUUGAUAAACCAGUUACUGUUAUAUCAUAAAUCGAUUUUAUUUUGUGUGCAAUAGUUUAUUGGUUAAUAUCAUAGGACCCGGAAUAAAUGAUCAACAUUUUUUUAUAAAUAAUGAACUAAGGUAUGUAAAGAAUAAUUUGUCGGAAAUCGAUUCAGACUAAUCUUUGAUCGCAUUGUGGAGAAUUUUCAGAGGAAAAAAGGACCCGGAAUAAAUUAUCAACAAUUUUUAUAAAUACUGAACUGAGGCAUGUGAAGAAUAAUUUGUCUGAGAUCGAUUUGGAUUAAUCUUAGAUCAUUUCAUCGUUCUUUGAUCGCAUGCUGGAGAGGAAAGUAUGAUCGUGACAUAAAUCAGUUUCAUUGGCACAACCAACAAACGUGUUUACAUUUGUGAAUGUAUGGCUAUUAAUGUACAUUUGUUUGUUAUUAGCGUUUGGAUUUGAUACAUGGACAUGUUUCCUAUAACAGCACCGGUUUUUAUAUACGUCCUUUUCCUUCAUACAUCGAACAGUUUAACGCUAACUAUAAAAUGGCGAAGGGUAACGACAAUGGACAAUAAAAUGGUAUCAGGAAAUUUUAUGGUGGUUCCGGGUUUAAAAUAUCACACAUUUUGUGCUCAAAUGUGUUCCAUGCAUUCAAAUUGCUACUCAUUUUUCUAUGAUGUCACAGAUUAUUCUUGUUUUCUUCACGAUGACGUGUACACAACAUCUACCACGUCACAGCCAUCAACUACCAGAUAUUACGUCAGCGAUAGCCGAGUUCCAACAACAAUGGUUACCACAGAAGCUGAAACAACCACAACAGAACCGACAACCACAACAGAACCGACAACGACCACGACUACGACGACAGUACCACCUCCCCGCGUUUGUCCAGCUGGUUUUACGUCCAAUUCCGGUUACUGCUUCUUGAUCUCGACCAUAACACGUUCGUGGACAAUUGCUAGGUCCACUUGUCAGGGGUAUGGAGGUGGUGAUCUGUUAGUGAUAGACAGCACAACAAAGCAAACCUUCUUCAACACCUAUAUGAAAAAUAACGGUCACACCCUAAGUUACCAUUUCGGUGUGCAUCAUAUUUAUUCUAAUGGAGACUUUGAGUUGGUGGAUGGACGAACACAAGCUACUGCAACAUUUACAUACUGGGGCGUUGGUGAACCUAACAAUGCCGAUGGUCCCAAUUUAUGCGGUUUUCUCAACUGGAAAAACACUAGUACCGAACUAAGAUGGAAUGACGGGGCGUGUAGCUUUACGGACUACUACAUCUGUGAAGUCAACAUUUGAUAGAAAAUAGCUGUUGUAUAUUUGGCAAGCUAUUUGUGAAGUCAACAUUUGAUAGAAAAUAGCUGUCGUAUUUAGCAAGUUAUAUCUAUGAAGUCAACAUUUGAUAGAAAACAGCUGUGGUAUUUUUGGCAAGCUGUCGUCGACAUAUAUUAAAUACCGUUACUAAUCUUGGCAAAACAUCACACAAUGGCUUCGGUAGCGAGGAUAUGGG